rnacentral:rRNA from 1 species
GCCGGACCCGACUGCUAUCGGAUUGGGACUAAGCCAUGCGAGUCAACUCCGCAAGGGGUGGCGCACGGCUCAGUAACACGUAGUCAACCUACCCUAGGGACGGGGAUAACCUCGGGAAACUGAGGCUAAACCCCGAUAGGCUAUAGCCUCUGGAAUGAGCUAUAGCUGAAAUCUAUAUGGCCCUAGGAUGGGACUGCGGCCGAUCAGGUAGUUGGUGGGGUAAUGGCCCACCAAGCCUAUAACCGGUGCGGGCUCUGAGAGGAGGAGCCCGGAGAUGGGCACUGAGACAAGGGCCCAGGUCCUAUGGGGCGCAGCAGGCGCGAAACCUCCGCAAUGGGCGAAAGCCCGACGGGGUCAGUCCGAGUGGUUCCCGCUGAGGGAACCUUUUGCCAGCUGUAAACAGGCUGGCGAAUAAGGGGUGGGCAAGUUUGGUGUCAGCCGCCGCGGUAAUACCAGCACCCCGAGUGGUCGGGACGAUUAUUGGGCCUAAAGCAUCCGUAGCCGGCUUAGCAAGUCCUCCGUUAAAUCCAACGGCUUAACCGUUGGGCUGCGGAGGAUACUGCUAAGCUAGGGGGCGGGAGAGGCGAGGGGUAUUCCCAGGGUAGGGGUAAAAUCCGUUGAUCCUGGGAGGACCACCAGUGGCGAAGGCGCCUCGCUAGAACGCGCCCGACGGUGAGGGAUGAAAGCUGGGGGAGCGAA